CAGAGCCCAGAGCCGGUCAGGGGUUGCAUAAGGCUGCGCUUGACGGUGCCUGGGAGCAAGAGGAGGGGGCGGAACUGGGUUUGAAGGGCGUGGCCUGAGGCUGCUGAGAGCGGCAGGAAGGGGUGGGGCUAGGCGAAAUGGGCGUAGACCGGAGAGGGGCGGCGCCUUGCCCCCAUCCUGUCUGCCCAAUUUUCCCUCCCUCCAGAUGGAAGUACCGAUGGCAGAAUAUUAACUACCAAUUCCUAGGCAAGAGGAAGAGACAUCUAGUUCCCCUGCGCCCGUGAGAGCCGGGAUUCGGAGAGACAGGCUUCAGGUUCAUCGCAUGGUGUCCCGAGGCUGACUCGAGCCAAGCCAGGAUGAGCAGGAAGAUGUCCUGGGAGCACCGCAAAACCCUGUGUCCCUCUCUGUGGGUGAAGAUCCUCCACCUUUGCCCUCUCCCUUGGGAUCUCCAUGUUUCUACCCUUCACUGCCCCAAUAAAGCAGUUUUCGCCUCUCUCUGGCUCUCUCUA